rnacentral:rRNA from 1 species
ACAAGAGGAGGAAGGUGGGGAUGACGCCAAAUCAGCGUGUUCCUUUGAUGUCCUGGGCGACACACAUGGUACAAUGGUUAAGACAAUGGGUUGCCAAGCCGUAAGGUGGAGCUAAUCCCAUCAAACUUAGCCUCAGUUCGGAUUGAGGGCUGCAACUCGCCCUCAUGAAGCCGGAAUCGCUAGUAAUCGCGGAUCAGCUAUGCCGCGGUGAAUACGUUCUCGGGUUUUGUACACACCGCCCGUCACGCCAAGAGAGUCGGUAAUACCCAAAAUCCCCCAUUUAAUUAAGGGGCCUAAGGUAGGAUCGAUGAUAGGGGCGAAGUCGUAACAAGGCAUCGGUAGCGGAAGCUGUCGAUGGAUCACCUCCUUU